rnacentral:rRNA from 1 species
CCCUUAGAUGUCCUGGGCCGCACGCGCGCUACACUGAUGCAUGCAACGAGUUUAUAACCUUGGCCUGAAAGGUCUGGGUAAUCUUUUGAACGUGCAUCGUGAUAGGGAUAGAUUAUUGCAAUUGUUAAUCUUGAACGAGGAAUUCCUAGUAAACGCGAGUCAUCAGCUCGCAUUGAUUACGUCCCUGCCCUUUGUACACACCGCCCGUCGCACCUACCGAUUGGACGGUUUAGCGAGGCCCUCGGAUCGGUACCAGGAUUCUUAACCGAGUCACUGGCAACCGAGAAGGCGGUCGAACUUGACCGUCUAGAGGAAGUAAAAGUCGUAACA